rnacentral:rRNA from 1 species
UCCCCAACAACUAGCCCACCCCCCAAAAAACAACAGACCACUAUCUACUUAACCCCUCAUACCCCCACCAAACCAAACAAAUCAUUUUUCCCCCUGAGUAUGGGAGACAGAAAAG